UUACUACUCCCUCCAUUCGGAAUUACUUGUCAUAGAAAUGGAUGUAUCUAGACGUAUUUUAGUUCUAGAUACAUCCAUUUUCAAGACAAGUAAUUCUGAAUGGAGGGAGUACUUC
rnacentral:pre_miRNA from 1 species